AACGUAGGAGACAAACGUUAUCCGGAGUUACUGGGCGUAAAGGGCGUGUAGGUGGUUUCGUAAGUCUGGCGUGAAAUUUUUCGGCUUAACCGGGAAAGGUCGUCGGAUACUGCGGAACUAGAGGACGGUAGAGGCGUGUGGAAUUCCGGGUGUAGCGGUGGAAUGCGUAGAGAUCCGGAAGAACACCGGUGGCGAAGGCGGCCUGCUGGGCAGUUUUGCUGACACUGAGGCGCGACAGCGUGGGGAGCAAACAGG
rnacentral:rRNA from 1 species